GCCUGGUGGCUCAGUGGGUUGAGCGUCCGACUUCGGCUCAGGUCAUGAUCUCACAGUUCGUGGGUUCGAGCCCCACAUCAGGCU
rnacentral:tRNA from 1 species